rnacentral:rRNA from 1 species
GACGAACGUUGGCGGCGUGCUUAACACAUGCAAGUCGAACGGAAAGGCCCUGCUUUUGUGGGGUGCUCGAGUGGCGAACGGGUGAGUAACACGUGAGUAACCUGCCCUUGACUUUGGGAUAACUUCAGGAAACUGGGGCUAAUACCGGAUAGGAGCUCCUGCUGCAUGGUGGGGGUUGGAAAGUUUCGGCGGUUGGGGAUGGACUCGCGGCUUAUCAGCUUGUUGGUGGGGUAGUGGCUUACCAAGGCUUUGACGGGUAGCCGGCCUGAGAGGGUGACCGGCCACAUUGGGACUGAGAUACGGCCCAGACUCCUACGGGAGGCAGCAGUGGGGAAUAUUGCACAAUGGGCGGAAGCCUGAUGCAGCAACGCCGCGUGCGGGAUGACGGCCUUCGGGUUGUAAACCGCUUUCGCCUGUGACGAAGCGUGAGUGACGGUAAUGGGUAAAGAAGCACCGGCUAACUACGUGCCAGCAGCCGCGGUGAUACGUAGGGUGCGAGCGUUGUCCGGAUUUAUUGGGCGUAAAGGGCUCGUAGGUGGUUGAUCGCGUCGGAAGUGUAAUCUUGGGGCUUAACCCUGAGCGUGCUUUCGAUACGGGUUGACUUGAGGAAGGUAGGGGAGAAUGGAAUUCCUGGUGGAGCGGUGGAAUGCGCAGAUAUCAGGAGGAACACCAGUGGCGAAGGCGGUUCUCUGGGCCUUUCCUGACGCUGAGGAGCGAAAGCGUGGGAGCGAACAGGCUUAGAUACCCUGGUAGUCCACGCUGUAAACGGUGGGUACUAGGUGUGGGGUCCAUUCCACGGGUUCCGUGCCGUAGCUAACGCUUUAAGUACCCCGCCUGGGGAGUACGGCCGCGAGGCUAAAACUCAAAGGAAUUGACGGGGCCCCGCACAAGCGGCGGAGCAUGCGGAUUAAUUCGAUGCAACGCGUAGAACCUUACCUGGGUUUGACAUGGAUCGGGAGUGCUCAGAGAUGGGUGUGCCUCUUUUGGGGUCGGUUCACAGGUGGUGCAUGGCUGUCGUCAGCUCGUGUCGUGAGAUGUUGGGUUAAGUCCCGCAACGAGCGCAACCCUUGUUCACUGUUGCCAGCACGUUAUGGUGGGGACUCAGUGGAGACCGCCGGGGUCAACUCGGAGGAAGGUGGGGAUGACGUCAAGUCAUCAUGCCCCUUAUGUCCAGGGCUUCACGCAUGCUACAAUGGCUGGUACAGAGAGUGGCGAGCCUGUGAGGGUGAGCGAAUCUCGGAAAGCCGGUCUCAGUUCGGAUUGGGGUCUGCAACUCGACCUCAUGAAGUCGGAGUCGCUAGUAAUCGCAGAUCAGCAACGCUGCGGUGAAUACGUUCCCGGG